CUACGGGGUGCUGCAGUGAGGAAUAUUGCACAAUGGGGGGAACCCUGAUGCAGCAACGCCGCGUGGAGGAUGACGCAUUUCGGUGUGUAAAAUCCUUUUAUAUGUCAAGAAAAUGACGGUAGCAUAUGAAUAAGCACCGGCUAACCCGUGCCAGCAGCCGCGGUAAUACGGAGGGUGCAAGCGUUACUCGGAAUCACUGGGCGUAAAGGACGCGUAGGCGGGUUGGAAAGUCAGGUGUGAAAUCCUACAGCUUAACUGUAGAACUGCACUUGAAACUUCUAAUCUAGAGUAUGGGAGGGGGAGAUGGAAUUAGUGGUGUAGGGGAAAAAUCCGUAGAUAUCACUAGGAAUACCUAAAGCGAAGGCGAUCUCCUGGAACAUUACUGACGCUAAGGCGUGAAAGCGUGGGGAGCAAACAGGAUUAGAUACCCGCGUAGUC
rnacentral:rRNA from 1 species